GCACAGAUUAAAUGUAGCUGUAGCAUCAUUAGUGUUUGACCUGCGUGUAACAGAUGGAGCAGCGAUUAGGAAUAAAGAUUUGAGUGCUAAAGGUCAAAACUGCUUUGUUAAGAGUGAUAUCUUAAGUGUCGCAUUCUUAGAAAGGAAAACUAAUUUAGCUCUUGCACAAAUACCAAGUCAGUUGAGUUUUUUGCAACAAUUCUAUAAUUUUAUGCUGUGUAUGAAAUUAUAGGAAAGUUCUCUACCAUGCAAGGUUUGGCAAAUAUAAAUGUUGCAUUCCUCUCUGAAAAUCUGUCUAAAAUGGUCUGAUUCCAUAAAAUGCUGAUUAGAACAGCAAAGUUUGGUCAGACAGUUGAUUAGAAAAGGGGAGAAAAAAAACAUUAAAAAGUACGGAAAAUAACAGUCUGCUUCACUAAAGCCAAAACCAGAAAGAUGUUUGGUCUUGUCUUUUCUUAAUGUUUAAAAGAAAAUAUUAAAGUAUCAGAUGAUUAGAGAACAGCUUAAAUGGAAAGAGCAAUCAGCUUCAUGAUGAUGAAAAACAAAGUAUCAUGAAAAACUUUUGACAGGCUCUAAAAAACCUCUGGUUUAUUUUCUUAGAAUUUGUGAUAGUAAGAAAAACUCCACUGUAAGAUUUAGUCACUUUCUUAAACCCGCCUGUAUGUGGGCAAAAUAGUUUUAGUCUCAAUGACUGCAGAGCAGAACAAAAAUGGCGUAAAACUCAACUUCACGUUUAUAAUGACACCUAUAAAGAAAGACUAUGUAACUAUCACUCAACACUAAAACAUGCAAGAGAGGCUUUCUUUGCAGAUGUCAUAAACAAAAACAUCAACAAAGCUUGAGCUUCCUUUUCAACAGUUGACAGGCUCACAAACCCUCCUGUGACGUUACCACCUGAACUCCAAUCGAAUGCUGUCUGGAACAAGUUUUCCAACUUUUUUUCAGAGAUUAAUCUGCACGUCAACUCUAAAGCCAGAACCAUUGCUGGACCCAAACAAAACAAAUACAGGAAAAAUGACCCACUUUCAAAUACUUAAUCAUAAAAUCCUAGAAGAAAUUAUAAGUCAAAUAAGUUCAAGCUCCUGCUGUCUGGGUGUCCUACCCGCACAUUUCUUUAAGAAAGUCCUGCCUGUUAUUGCUACUGAUCUCAUCCAAAUCGUAAACUCAUCGCUCACAUCAGGUGUUUUCCCCCAGGCUUUGAAAACAGCAGUCAUCAAACCACUGCUAAAAAAGAACAACCUGCUAGGCCUGUCGCGAUAAACGAUAAGUCAAUUAAUCACACGAUAAGUUAAAACUAUUGACCUCAUUUUAAUUAUCUGCUAUGUCGUGUUCUUAGAAUAAGAAUAACGUUCGGGGUAAAAAAGAUCCUGUAGUUUGAACUAUUGCAUCAGGCAGUCGGAUUCUAUUUAAAUCUAAUGAUUACUGAAGGGCAAUAUACUAUACAGAUUUCAUAAUCUGCACUCUUUUGGUUGAAUGCAGUAUUUAUUUCCACUUUGGCUUCAUGUUGUUUAGUUUUUAUUCAAGUACAUUUAUUGUUAAUGGAGACUAAGAAUCUAUUUUAUUUUUGGUUUUGGUUGUUUUAUUUAUUUUGUGUAUCAGUCCCAAUGUUAAGUGUCUUGAAAGUAAAAUGUAUUAUUACGUAAUUUCCAUUAAAUCAAUGUAAAAAGGUCUUCAAACAAUAUCGUUUAUCGCAAUAAUUUUUGAGACAAUUUAUCGUCCAGCAAAAUCUGUUAUCGUGACAGACCUACAAAUCACUACUGCAGAAUUACAGGCCGGCCUCUGACCUCCCACUCAUCAGCAAAGUUAUUGAGAAAAACUGUGUGUAAACAAUUAAAUAGUUUUCUCAUAAUGACCAACUGCUUUUAUUCUUUCCAAUCUGGUUUUUACUUGAUUGAUGACCCCCAAUUAGAUCACAAUAAAUCAAAAGAAAAUAAUAAAUACAAGUGCUAUUCAUAACAACUUAGGGAAAAUUUGUGUUUAGUUCAGUUACUGAUUAUGAAUUUGGGCUAGAAAAAUUUGGUAACAAGAAAAAAUAUACAUAUUUAAUAAUAAACAUCUAUAAUUCCUGUUUCAAAAAUAAUUAUUGCAUAAACUGCGAUACCAGUUUUGAGAUCGGGGUAAUAAGAAACGUACAAGUUCAUUUUGGUCUUGGCCGCUCCCUGAUUAGCUGUUAGCUUCCUCUUCUGCAGCAAACUAAUCUGGAUUUAUACUAAAUGAAAACAACAAGGGAGUUAUCUGCAGCAAAUUGUAACCCUUUACUUGAAAAUGAUUUAGGUUAAGGAAGCACAUUAUCAAAAAAAAUAAACAAAUACCUCUCAACAUCUGGAUAGAAAAACCCACUGGUCCUAAUGAUGGUGUUUUGUCCAGCAAGAAAACUAUUAUGUAUUUUCUCCAUAAGAAACACAGUUUUGGAGCUUCGGUUUAAGCAAAGAUUUCUGAGUGCAGCCUCAAAUGUCUGACAGACAAGCAAAAGCCAUUAACAAGUCUUCUCACCACAAUCCUAGCCAUUCAUUAGACAUCAAUCAAAGGAGGAUGUGUGAUAAUUAAAUGAGGAGUGCUAAUGCUUUGUAGCACUUGUACACCAGGCCAUUUUAGUCUGACACCUGGAAUAGCGUAAAAUAGACAGAAGGAGGAUGUCAGUCUUUGUGUUGAUGGCUGGAGCAGGUCGGUGCUAACAGGCUAAUUUAUUAAUAAAAACAUCAAAGAAGUCAAGUUACAAUUUUCAAAGUUGAAUCUCAAUUAAUUAGACUUAGACUAAUUAGUCAACUGAUUUCUGUUUCAGUUUUAAAGGGUAAACCUCAUGCAGAUCAAUUUCACAUGGAGCUUCUCAGAAAAUUGAAACGCAUGUUCACGUUGCUUUGAUAAUAAUGACUGCGUACAACAUUUGAAGCAUCGCCCAUACUGUAUGCUACAUCCUACGGUAAAAAAAACAAACAAAAAAAUAAACAUUGUCCUCAUUCUGUGGCUGUCAAAUAAAAAAAAACAGCCAUGUUGUCUCUGUCUUGUUAGCUCUUAUGCCAAGAAACCUUCAGUAACCCAGGAACCCAGUGUUGAAUCAAUUUAACUGUUUUUCUAAACCUUUUAACAUGUCAGAGCUCACGGUUGCACAUUCAUACUAUCCUGUUUGCCUAUAUCUGCUCUGUCAGUGCUGUGGAGCUGCAGUGGAGCUGACAGCUUGCUGUGACAGAGAGCCUAAAACCAACAAAGUGUCAGCUGCUGCACAGGAGAAAUGCCGUUGAUUGGAUUAGGCCCCUGUGUGUUCUCAGGCCUAAUGGAGCGAGUUCCAGAGACCGUCCAACACAGAUCUAUUUUUAAUUAGAAAUUAGACAGAAACAAGAGAACUUUCUGCAAGGCGCUGAAAAUGAAAACCUUUCAUCUUUACAAUUAAUACACAUUAAAACUAUUUGCUACCAAAAAAAAUAAAAUGCAAAACUUUCCACAUAGUAAAAACUUUGCUGUGGAUUCAUCAAAAAUAUUCCUUGCAACUUCCAAAAGAGAGUUGGUAUGACAUUAUGCAGUCAAAUUGGAAUAUCAUUAAAGUCAAUCAAUUUCAGUCGCUCAUUUCAAUAAGUGAAAUGCAUUAUACAAAUUAAUUACAUGCAGACUGAUGUUUUUCAGCCUUUAUUUUUGUUAAUUAUGAUUAUUUCUCACUUACAGGUAAUGAAAACAAGACAUUUAAGAUCAGAAUAUUACAUCAGACCACUGAAAAAAAUAUUUCAUUACAGGAAUGUGGGGUAACUUAAAAUUAUUCUUAAUACCUGAAUAAAGGUUGUUUUUAAAAAGUACUUUUAAUCAGAAACAAGCCUCAUUGGAGUGUAUGCAGCGGACCUGCACCUGUUCUCAAUUAAGUAUUCUGUGAAAAAUAACUCCAAAUUAACUGUGGAAAAUUCGUAAAUUUAUCUAUUUUUAUAUCUAUAUUUUUUGUCAUUUGACAUAUCUAAAAUAUUUUAAGUGAAUUCAACUGAAAUUGGCUGAUGUGUGGAAAGCAACCGAUUCAAAAUAAGAGGUAUCCUCAAUUGGCUGAGUCCACAGGAUAAGGAACACCUUCGAUGGUAACCUAUGUGGGAGAGCUAAGAGUUUCAACUGUGCAUAUGGAUUAAUAUUAAAGUAUACUUGGUUUUUGGAACUGUUAAAACAGUUAUAAGUGCUUUUAGAGGAGCUGUGAGGUAUUCAUGUGACUGCAUAAUGUCAGAUCAAUAGGAAUAUAUGGAUAGACAAACGGUCAGAUGGACAAGGUGCUACUGAAUGGUUACAGAAUACAUUCAGUGCUCAAGUGGAGGCAUUGCUAUCUGGGUUAUAAACCUGACCAAUGAGAUAUCAGAUACCUGCAGUACAGACAAACUAACCAAUAGCCACGCCACACAAUAAACAAGUCUGAUAACAUUCAUUGAAAAUCAAAAAUACAUUAAGUGAAUAAGAUAUCGCUAUAGUUACUAUCUGUUCAUGCUGCAUUUUGCAGAAUUAUUUAAUGAAAAAUUAUUGAUGGGCUUCAGUAGCUUAAUGGAUCCAAUAUGAAGAUUAAAAACACUGAAAUGCAUGAUUUGAACUUAGAAUAAUCUAUAACUCUGCACAUCUUUAACACACAGCGCUGUGCAAAGGUGAGCUGCAAUAGAUCUCUGAAAAGACAAUAUUUACUGUUGCAAUAAACUCCAUCAUUUACUCCUUUAGACAUUUACCAACUCUGAGGUUGGAAAAUGUUUUCAAUCAUUUGCCGCCUCAAUUUUUUUCUCUUGCUCCCCUUUCUUUCCUUUUAUGUUCAAACAUGUUCUCAUACAACUUACAGAUACAAAUAAUGUAACAAUAGUUCUGAUUUGUAUGUUUUGUCUGUUGCAGGUUUUAACUCUGACUGACUGAAGGAGGAUAUGGAUUCUUCAAGAGAAAACUGAUGUGAUCCAACAGAUUCCAAAAUAUGUUGAAAAAUUAAUAUCUUAUUUACUUUUCCUUAAACUAGGGCUGUGAGUCCAACAUCAGAAAACUUCAUUCUUAUUGCUUCUUAUAUUUAAUAUACAGCCAUCUUAAUUAUUAUGUUUGCUGUUUUCACUUUAAUGAAAUUCAACAAACAUAAUCCGCUAGCAGCCAGAAAUGAUGGAAGAAAGUGAUAAACAGGAGCUAAAACAGGAAUACAGCGUGACAGAGCCAAAGCUUGCCACAGUUGUGUCCCUUUUUCUGUUCAGGAGUUGCACAAAGCUGACAGCUCUGAAAGGUCAACCUGCUCUAGACCAAAAUGUAAAUGAAGCGACCAAAGUCGCCCUGGAAUCCCAGACGACGGUGAUUCUCUUCAUCAGCUGUCAAUUGAUUCUCCUACUAAAUACCUCAACACUGAACACUAGAGACACGUGUGGUAUCCGACUCUUUCAGAGGAUUCACACAAUGGAGUCCUCUUAACGAGCAACGCAGCAGCUAAGGAGGAAAGUCCUCGCCAUGCCAACAUGGCUCACCGGCCUGCUGAGAGCCAAGCAGCACCUGACAGAUGCCACUUUGGGGGCAAAAUCCCAGAGGGCUCCAAAGAGCCAGCACAGGACUGAAGCCAAGGGAGCAGAAGACUGGAAUACCGAAACACAUUACAGUUAUAUAUAUAAAUAUGAUUGCUGAAAUCCAUUUAACUGUCCACACGUAAAGCUGCAGUAUGUAAAGCAAAUGUUUUGUACAUAUUUAUUUGAUGUAAAGCACUGUUGCUGAAAUGUGCUAUACAAAUAAAAUUUGAUUGAUUGA